GGGUUGUGAGGUUAAGCGACUAAGCGUACACGGUGGAUGCCCUGGCAGUCAGAGGCGAUGAAGGACGUGCUAAUCUGCGAUAAGCGUCGGUAAGGUGAUAUGAACCGUUAUAACCGGCGAUUUCCGAAUGGGGAAACCCAGUGUGUUUCGACACACUAUCAUUAACUGAAUCCAUAGGUUAAUGAGGCGAACCGGGGGAACUGAAACAUCUAAGUACCCCGAGGAAAAGAAAUCAACCGAGAUUCCCCCAGUAGCGGCGAGCGAACGGGGAGCAGCCCAGAGCCUGAAUCAGUAUGUGUGUUAGUGGAAGCGUCUGGAAAGGCGCGCGAUACAGGGUGACAGCCCCGUACACAAAAAUGCACAUAUUGUGAGCUCGAUGAGUAGGGCGGGACACGUGGUAUCCUGUCUGAAUAUGGGGGGACCAUCCUCCAAGGCUAAAUACUCCUGACUGACCGAUAGUGAACCAGUACCGUGAGGGAAAGGCGAAAAGAACCCCGGCGAGGGGAGUGAAAAAGAACCUGAAACCGUGUACGUACAAGCAGUGGGAGCACGCUUCGGCGUGUGACUGCGUACCUUUUGUAUAAUGGGUCAGCGACUUAUAUUCUGUAGCAAGGUUAACCGAAUAGGGGAGCCGAAGGGAAACCGAGUCUUAACUGGGCGUUAAGUUGCAGGGUAUAGACCCGAAACCCGGUGAUCUAGCCAUGGGCAGGUUGAAGGUUGGGUAACACUAACUGGAGGACCGAACCGACUAAUGUUGAAAAAUUAGCGGAUGACUUGUGGCUGGGGGUGAAAGGCCAAUCAAACCGGGAGAUAGCUGGUUCUCCCCGAAAGCUAUUUAGGUAGCGCCUCGUGAAUUCAUCUCCGGGGGUAGAGCACUGUUUCGGCAAGGGGGUCAUCCCGACUUACCAACCCGAUGCAAACUGCGAAUACCGGAGAAUGUUAUCACGGGAGACACACGGCGGGUGCUAACGUCCGUCGUGAAGAGGGAAACAACCCAGACCGCCAGCUAAGGUCCCAAAGUCAUGGUUAAGUGGGAAACGAUGUGGGAAGGCCCAGACAGCCAGGAUGUUGGCUUAGAAGCAGCCAUCAUUUAAAGAAAGCGUAAUAGCUCACUGGUCGAGUCGGCCUGCGCGGAAGAUGUAACGGGGCUAAACCAUGCACCGAAGCUGCGGCAGCGACGCUUAUGCGUUGUUGGGUAGGGGAGCGUUCUGUAAGCCUGUGAAGGUGUGCUGUGAGGCAUGCUGGAGGUAUCAGAAGUGCGAAUGCUGACAUAAGUAACGAUAAAGCGGGUGAAAAGCCCGCUCGCCGGAAGACCAAGGGUUCCUGUCCAACGUUAAUCGGGGCAGGGUGAGUCGACCCCUAAGGCGAGGCCGAAAGGCGUAGUCGAUGGGAAACAGGUUAAUAUUCCUGUACUUGGUGUUACUGCGAAGGGGGGACGGAGAAGGCUAUGUUGGCCGGGCGACGGUUGUCCCGGUUUAAGCGUGUAGGCUGGUUUUCCAGGCAAAUCCGGAAAAUCAAGGCUGAGGCGUGAUGACGAGGCACUACGGUGCUGAAGCAACAAAUGCCCUGCUUCCAGGAAAAGCCUCUAAGCAUCAGGUAACAUCAAAUCGUACCCCAAACCGACACAGGUGGUCAGGUAGAGAAUACCAAGGCGCUUGAGAGAACUCGGGUGAAGGAACUAGGCAAAAUGGUGCCGUAACUUCGGGAGAAGGCACGCUGAUAUGUAGGUGAAGUCCCUCGCGGAUGGAGCUGAAAUCAGUCGAAGAUACCAGCUGGCUGCAACUGUUUAUUAAAAACACAGCACUGUGCAAACACGAAAGUGGACGUAUACGGUGUGACGCCUGCCCGGUGCCGGAAGGUUAAUUGAUGGGGUCAGCGCAAGCGAAGCUCUUGAUCGAAGCCCCGGUAAACGGCGGCCGUAACUAUAACGGUCCUAAGGUAGCGAAAUUCCUUGUCGGGUAAGUUCCGACCUGCACGAAUGGCGUAAUGAUGGCCAGGCUGUCUCCACCCGAGACUCAGUGAAAUUGAACUCGCUGUGAAGAUGCAGUGUACCCGCGGCAAGACGGAAAGACCCCGUGAACCUUUACUAUAGCUUGACACUGAACAUUGAGCCUUGAUGUGUAGGAUAGGUGGGAGGCUUUGAAGUGUGGACGCCAGUCUGCAUGGAGCCGACCUUGAAAUACCACCCUUUAAUGUUUGAUGUUCUAACGUUGACCCGUAAUCCGGGUUGCGGACAGUGUCUGGUGGGUAGUUUGACUGGGGCGGUCUCCUCCUAAAGAGUAACGGAGGAGCACGAAGGUUGGCUAAUCCUGGUCGGACAUCAGGAGGUUAGUGCAAUGGCAUAAGCCAGCUUGACUGCGAGCGUGACGGCGCGAGCAGGUGCGAAAGCAGGUCAUAGUGAUCCGGUGGUUCUGAAUGGAAGGGCCAUCGCUCAACGGAUAAAAGGUACUCCGGGGAUAACAGGCUGAUACCGCCCAAGAGUUCAUAUCGACGGCGGUGUUUGGCACCUCGAUGUCGGCUCAUCACAUCCUGGGGCUGAAGUAGGUCCCAAGGGUAUGGCUGUUCGCCAUUUAAAGUGGUACGCGAGCUGGGUUUAGAACGUCGUGAGACAGUUCGGUCCCUAUCUGCCGUGGGCGCUGGAGAACUGAGGGGGGCUGCUCCUAGUACGAGAGGACCGGAGUGGACGCAUCACUGGUGUUCGGGUUGUCAUGCCAAUGGCACUGCCCGGUAGCUAAAUGCGGAAGAGAUAAGUGCUGAAAGCAUCUAAGCACGAAACUUGCCCCGAGAUGAGUUCUCCCUGACUCCUUGAGAGUCCUGAAGGAACGUUGAAGACGACGACGUUGAUAGGCCGGGUGUGUAAGCGCAGCGAUGCGUUGAGCUAACCGGUACUAAUGAACCGUGAGGCUUAACCUUACAACGCCGAAG
rnacentral:rRNA from 1 species